rnacentral:rRNA from 1 species
AGAGUUUGAUCAUGGCUCAGAUUGAACGUUGGCGGCAGGCUUAACACAUGCAAGUCGAACGAGAAAGCGCUUUCGGGCGCGAGUAAAGUGGCGGACGGGUGAGUAACGCGUAGUGAACCUGCCCGGCAGAAGGGGACAACUCGGGGAAACUCGAGCUAAUACCGUAUGACAUCUCUCGUCUUCGCGACGAAGGAUCAAAGGGGGCCUAUCCUUGGAAGCUCCCGCUGUCGGAGGGGCCUGCGUUGGAUUAGCUGGUUGGUGAGGUAACGGCUCACCAAGGCGACGAUCCAUAGCUGGUCUGAGGGGACGAUCAGCCACACUGGAACUGAGACACGGUCCAGACUCCUACGGGAGGCAGCAGUGGGGAAUCUUGGGCAAUGGGCGCAAGCCUGACCCAGCCAUGCCGCGUGUGUGAAGAAGGCCUUCGGGUUGUAAAGCACUUUCAGUGGUGAAGAAAAGCCGGCGGUGAAUAGCUGCUGGUCUUGACGUUAACUAC